GUGUUAUAAAAGGUAAUAGAUGUGUAAUAGAUGUGUUAUAAAGUGUAAUAGAUGUGUUAUAAAGUGUAAUAGAUGUGUUAUAAAAGUGUAAUAGAUGUGUUAUAAAGUGUAAUAGAUGUGUUAUAAAAGUGUAAUAGAUGUGUUAUAAAGUGUAAUAGAUGUGUUAUAAAAGUGUAAUAGAUGUGUUAU